CAACUAUAAAAGGAACAAUAUAUCUGAAUUUAAGAAUAUUAUUAUAGGGUAUCUAUUGAAAAAUAGUGUAUAUCAAGUAUAUGGGAUUUUUAUAUAUUAUUCUUUUUUUUAAGAUUACCUCGUAUAGGCUAAGUGAUUCCUUAGUAGUGGUGAGGAGGAGGAGGAGGAGGCGAAGUGUAGUAAUAAUGGGUCGGUGGUGGUGGUGACUUGUGAACCGGUGGUGGUGGUGGGGAUUUGUACUUGUAAACUGGUGGGGGUGGCGGUGGUGAUUUGUAGUGGUAAGGAGGGGGAGGGGAGUGCACCGGCGGAGGUGGUGGUGGUGAUUUGUAGUGGUAAGGAGGAGGUGGUGAGUGCACCGGAGGUGGCGGUGGUGGUGAUUUAUAGUGGUAAGGAGGGGGUGGUGAGUGUACCGGAGGUGGCGGUGGUGGUGACUUGUAGUGGUAAGGUGGUGGUGGUGAGUGCACCGGAGGAGGCGGUGGUGGUGGUGAUUUGUACUUGUAAGGAGGAGGAGGUGGUGGUUUUGGGGAUUUCUUAGGAGGUGGAGGAGAGGAGUAAGAGUAAUUUGCUGUGGUUUCUGAUGGCAAAUUGAGAGACACUAAUACCACUAGAAAAGUUAGAAUGAGAGAGGCCAUUUUGGACCCCUUAGAUUUUCUUCCCAUCUUUACUACAAAUGUAGCUUCUUUGUUGUGCUCUUAAGCAACCUUUUGCCCUCUAUUUAUAGCUUAGCUUUUUUACCUUUUAACAUUAAUAAAAAUCAUAAUGCAUGCAUGGUAAUUAAAAC
rnacentral:lncRNA from 1 species